AUGUGAUCCAUCGUUGACCAAAAUGUCACUAUUCAGUGCAUGACUGCAUUGUGAAAUCUGCGCUCUGCUUCUAAUUAAGGGUUGGGUUUCACUUUUAGGUCAAUAUAUGAGAGUAAGAGGUAUUACAAAUUUGGUUGCUGUUGAGAUGUCUUUAUCUGCCAGUCUGUUCUCUGCAGGUGAUGUUUUCUUUCUGAUAAGAUGUUUUGUCUUUAUUAUUUGUGGCUUUACUAUAAAGUGUGUAGGUAUGAGUUUUAAAAUUUAUCCUGUUUUAGAAUCGCUUGAACCCAGGAGGCAGAGGCUGCAGUGAGCCGAGAUCACACCAUUGCAACUUCAGCCUGGGUAACAGGGCAAGACUCCGUCAAAAAAAAAAAAAAAAAAAAAUCCUGUUUUGCAUAUGUGGAACUUCUUUAACUUAGAUUCAUGUUUUUUUUUUUUGUUUUUUUUUUUCAGUUCUAGAAAAGCCUCUCCUCUAGUGUCUUUCUAGUUAUUUCGUGGUAUCUUACCCUCCAUGUCUCUUAACCACUUGCAGUUUUCAUGUCCUUUGUCGCCCCGUGCUGUAAUCUGAACAGUAUCUUCAGAUCUUCUAGUUCUCUUCUACACUAUCUAAUAUGCUAAUCUAUUCACUGAGUUUUAAAUUUCACCUGUUAUAUUUUAAACUUAUAUUUGAUUAUUUUUCAAGUAUGCCUUGUUGUUUUUGACGGUCACUUUUUGGUUGCUUAUUUUUCCUUUUAAAUAUUAUUUUGUUAAGCAUUAACUUAUUUUAUAAUUCUGUAUCUGAUGAUUUUCCAGUAUCUGAAGUCAGUAUCCGAAGUGUGAGCGUGGGAGGAUGGGGUAACCUAAACCUGCUACUUACAGUUUGUGCUGAAUCUCUUCUAUGGUGGCUUUUUCCAUGCAGAUGCAUGUGUGUGUGGUAGUUUUUGUUUAUAAGCUCAUCAUAUGUUGACAUAAAUCUAUGGAAAUCCCGAGUACCUCCAUUUUCCUGUUUCUGCUAGUGGCUAUGGGGAGCUAACAACUCCAAGGUGCUUUCUAGGAUCCUGAAGUCUCAGCUUUGGCUUCCUCAUCUGGCAGUGGGCAUAAGGGUUUCAUGUUGGCAUUUGACCCUACAGCAAUUUUGACUUCACUACUCCCAACACUCCAGUCUGAAUAGGUUCAUUUAAGUUAAUUAAUGGGUGUGAGGGUAUUGAGAUUUCCCUUAUUUCUUGCAAGCUUGUCAAUGCAUUAAAAAAGGAGGCUUAUUCAAAUUUAAAGAGGAUCUACUUAUAUUACAGUGAUAAGGCACUUCAGAAUAAUUGGUUUGCCAUACAAAAGGAAAUGGAAUUCUUACACAUUUUUGCUCCCAAGGAAUUUUCCUUACUUUGAGUAAGGCCGACUAUGUAUUUAAAAGGAUUUGUUUCAAUAUUUUAUUUACUAAGCAUUUUGGGGUGUUGUACAGUAGGAGGAUUUUCAGAUAACGUACCAUGCCACAUGCUAAAAAUUUCAUAAGGCCUAUUUUGUCUCAAACAUGUUGUUAAACUGUAUCUUUCCUGUUUUACACCUAUGUAGUUUUUCCAUACCUACCUGCAGGAUCUUGCAUUUGUCUGUAUAAAAUUUUAUCUUGUCAGAUUUGGAGAACUGUUCCAGUAUAAUUUAGACAUCUUUCUAGCUCUUAUCAAAUAAUCUACCCCCUCUGUCUAUGACCAGCAUGUUAGACUUCUAUUCCAGCAGUUUUUUAUAUGAGUUUCCUUUGCGAUUACAGAUUAAAGGAUAAUUCCUUUGAGAUUAAAGGAAAGAAUAUUCCUUGGGGGGCAGCCCCCGCCCGGCCGCCACCCCGUCUGGGAGGUGGGGGGCGCCUCUGCCCAGCUGCCCCGUCUGGGAAGUGAAGAGCCCCUCUGCCCGGCCGCCACCCCGUCUGGGAGGUGUACCCAACAGCUCAUUGAGAACGGGCCAUGAUGACGAUGGCAGUUUUGUCGAAUAGAAAAGGGGGAAAUGUGGGGAAAAUAAAGAGAGAUCAGAUUGUUACUGUGUCUGUGUAGAAAGAAGUAGACAUAGGAGACUCCAUUUUGUUCUGUACUAAGAAAAAUUAUACUGCCUUGGGAUGCUGUUAAUCUAUAACCUUACCCCCAUCCCCGUGCUCUCUGAAACAUGUGCUGUGUCCACUAAGGGUUAAAUGGAUUAAGGGCGGUGCAAGAUGUGCUUUGUUAAACAGAUGCUUGAAGGCAGCAUACUUGUUAAGAGUCAUCACCACUCCCUAAUCUCAAGUACCCGGAGACACAAACA
rnacentral:lncRNA from 10 species